UCUCUAUGAUGAUCCCUUCAAGAAUUCUGCAAUUCUGACAAUCUCCUACCAUUGUGAGAUUGCGUGUUGACAUUCUACACUUGAUCUGAUU
rnacentral:snoRNA from 1 species